CCUGGUGGCCAUAGAGCGCUGGAACCACCCGAUCCCAUCUCGAACUCGGCAGUGAAACAGCGCAUCGCCGAUGAUAGUGGAGCCCGUCUCCGUGAAAGUAGGUCACCGCCAGGC
rnacentral:rRNA from 2 species